rnacentral:misc_RNA from 1 species
AACUCUCAAGCAGAGAUAGCUUUGUUUUGCUAUCUUUGUUUGGAUUUGGGCUUUGCUGUGCUUAAUGCGGCUGGUCCUAAAUGUAUUAGCUGGUCCUAAUUUUGAAGGGUCUGGUUCUACUCAGCAUGAUAAUUGUCUAUUGUUGAGGACAGUCUUUUGAGACUGGCCAGAGCCGAGCCAUCUUUGGAUUGCUUCUAAUUGUCCUUGGGACAUUACUGUUUGACU